rnacentral:miRNA from 15 species
UGUAACCCAACGCAGCAUGAU